AUUGACGUCAAAAUAAGGCAACAAACGCUACUGUCCGAGCAGUUCGAGAAGAAUCUUCAUUGAGGAAAAAGAUGAAGAUUGCUGCUUUUAUUCUUGUUGCAAGUUGCAUUGUUGGCAUUGCCCUGGGCGUGAACGACGAUCGCUGCUUGCGAAAACCUGAGAAAUCUGGUGAAUGCCGGGCAAGUAUACCCCGUUGGUCCUACUCUGGAAAACAGUGCAAACUAUUUAUGUGGGGCGGCUGCGGUGAAAGCAAGGAUAAUCGCUUUGAAACUGAGAGGGAGUGCAUAAACAGCUGUAUACAAGAUACUGACUAAGUUUCAUAGAGCCAAAAUUCGGCAAUUCCGAUAAUAAUAAAAAUAUGCAGACACA